CAGUUGCUACACAGACUCAGCCAUUGAGAAACCUGAAAAAUCAAUUUCUAAUCAGGAGACUGUUCUGUAAGUACAGAAUCAGAGCCAAGAGUAUGCUUCAUUUACGUCUCUUCAGCAGCUUGCCUUAGAUGGAAGAACUGUAAUAGGAGAAAAAGACCCGUGGCAUUGUGGGCCACAGUGGAGGCAUGAAAACUACACAAUUAGUAGGGGAAUUUCUUUACACUGAAGGCAUGAAGAAUUCACAUUGGUGAAAAAGUGAAUAAUGCCUUUGCAUCCCCCACCCCAUC